AAGAGCCCCAAGGACAAUGAUCCACGCCAAAUUCGGGGCCGCGGACCGGAUCGGACGAUCGGCAAGAGGUCCCCGGACAGCGCCGGACCCGCGGAGUAGCCACCAACAUGCCCCCCUAAUGUAAACAGUGCGACUGCGGGAUCAGGACCCCGGGCAACGAGCCGCAAAUUGCCUUUCUGGGCACGCCUCCGAGGACGGAAGCCCCGGUUCUGCUGCGUAGCAGACCCGAUCUUCUUCUCCGCGUCGCCAAGUGGGAGCAGUGGUGGUGUGCACGACCCCUCGGGCCCCCAACCCAGAGCUAGUCAUCUAAUAAAGGCCUUAAAAAGGAGCAGGUCUCCUGGCCCAUUUAUUUCAACUAUGAAAGCUUUUACCUGUCAAGGGUGACACGCACAUAAAAAGCCUGCUGGUGACUCUUGGCUCUUUCUGCUCGAGUUCACUCCUGGAAGUGAGGUGAGGCAUCCGGAGCAUUCAGCUCCUCCCAGUGGGGGAAGGCAGUGCCCCAGAGUCACGGGCAGAGGAGAACACCUGGCAAAAGUGACACCUACCAGAAGUGACAUCCACUAAAGGGAUGUGCCUGUACACGGCGACGAGCGAGGACAAGCGCGCCUCAAGAAAAGGCCCCUGCCUUAGGGGAGGUGAAUGGAUUAUUAAGGGAACGGGGGAGAAGCCAGCCAGCUUCUGCCCUGCUCUGUCCCACCCAGAGAAACCCUCGCCCGAGGCAGAUGCGUGGUGAGAAUCUCUCUAGUCUGAAAUCCGAGCAAUGAGCUGAGGACUGGGUGUUAGCAUUCAGGAACACACAUAAUCAGUGGAUGUGAUUAUAUGUAGGUGCUUGUAUUAAAGAGCUCUGGGAAUCAGGGGUACAGACCCAAAUCUGACUCCAACAU